UCGGGAUCAGAUUAGGAUAGGCUGUAGAUAUGGGUGCUUAGAAAAAGCAAAUUGGAAUAUAGCUUAAUUUAUUGGAUAAGUCAAAGAUUCAAAAUUUAACCCGAUUGAUUUAUCGAACAGACUAUAUAACCUAAAAUGCAUAAUAUACUUAAUAAACAAGUCUAAUAGAUUAGGGCCCAUGAUUAAUUAUGAAUCCUGU
rnacentral:lncRNA from 1 species